rnacentral:rRNA from 1 species
GAUGAACGCUAGCGGCAGGCCUAAUACAUGCAAGUCGGACGGGAUCCAUUGAUAGCUUGCUAUCAAUGGUGAGAGUGGCGCACGGGUGCGUAACGCGUGAGCAACCUGCCUCCAUCAGGGGGAUAGCCUCUCGAAAGAGAGAUUAACACCGCAUAAUAUCAACAGUUCGCAUGUUCAGUUGAUUAAAUAUUUAUAGGAUGGAGAUGGGCUCGCGUGACAUUAGCUAGUUGGUAGGGUAACGGCUUACCAAGGCGACGAUGUCUAGGGGCUCUGAGAGGAGAAUCCCCCACACUGGUACUGAGACACGGACCAGACUCCUACGGGAGGCAGCAGUAAGGAAUAUUGGUCAAUGGGCGGAAGCCUGAACCAGCCAUGCCGCGUGCAGGAUGACUGCCCUAUGGGUUGUAAACUGCUUUUGUCCAGGAAUAAACCUAAAUACGAGUAUUUAGCUGAAUGUACUGGAAGAAUAAGGAUCGGCUAACUCCGU